rnacentral:lncRNA from 1 species
AUCCUGUUUAAAUUCCAAUUCCUUCUCAUAUUUUACACGAUCGUGCUCUAGCUGUAACAGAAGCAGCUCUUUCUGCUGUUCAAAAAGAAGACUACUAGGACUAACCGAUGGAGCGGUAAUUGUAACAUAUCGGGGAGACGGCGAGUCCUCAGCAGAGGCUGCCCCAGUGGUAUCUUCAAGAAUACCACUCUCCAUCAGAUUGGCCUUCAAUAUUAAUCUAAUAGAAUUUUUUUUUACAUUUAUCACUAAUUUCAACCUUGUAGUGUUCAGCAACCUUCAACAGCUGUUCUUUAGUACAUACAUCUAACAGUUCCUUUGAUGGAAAGCGAAUGAACUCGUCUACAUUAGACGCCAUAGUCAAAAAAAUUCUCACUCAACCCCUCUACUGAGCACACCAGACCACAACAAGAGAAAAUACAAAUCACACCGGGCACCACAGAAAAGAGAUGAGAAAUGGAGCUUCCCCAAAAUCUACAAUAACUCAACCCUAGUCUUCAUGCAGAUUUGCGGUGGGUAAUUAUGCACUGUAGCCCGCUGGCAAGGAAUAACCCCCCCAGCACGCUGGUAGAUUCCACCAAGCCACGGAUGUGCCCCCGAGACAACUGCUCAGUCCACAGACACCACACAAAAAUAACAAACAUUAACAAUGCCCAACAUAUUCCAAAAUGAAACACGUCACUAAGCCUAUCAGGGGAAAAAGGUUAUAGCUCCGGGUAGUAAGUUUCACUACCCUAUCCAAAUCUCCCACCAAGGUACACAGCUGAUUGUACUCACCUCAGACCAACGUCCCAACAGCAAGUAGAACAAGCGUUUCCAGGCUAGGCAGGGGCCUGGAAACUAACCAAUGUAUUCUCUCCAACACAGCACACAAACCAAACAAACAAAGGCAACCAAUACUGAGCACCAAACUCAAACUAACAAACAAAGCACCUCAAUUUAACAUACCGCCACGUUUUCUCCCAAACACAAGUUCAAGAUCCC